rnacentral:tRNA from 1 species
GCCUGGGUGGCUCAGUCAGUUAAGCGUCUGACUUCGGCUCAGGUCAUAAUCUCACGGUUCGUGGGUUCGAGCCCCACGUCGGGCU